UACGUAGGGGGCUAGCGUUGUCCGGAAUCAUUGGGCGUAAAGCGCGUGUAGGCGGUCCGGUAAGUCCGCUGUGAAAGUCGAGGGCUCAACCCUUGAAUGCCGGUGGAUACUGUCGGGCUAGAGUGCGGAAGAGGCGAGUGGAAUUCCUGGUGUAGCGGUGAAAUGCGCAGAUAUCAGGAGGAACACCUAUUGCGAAGGCAGCUCGCUGGGACGUUACUGACGCUGAGACGCGAAAGCGUGGGGAGCAAACAGG
rnacentral:rRNA from 1 species